AAUGAUGAAGAAAGUAAAGAAUUUUUUGUGAUUAAAUGCAAUGGGUUUGAUAUAAAAUUAAAUGACAUCAGAAGUCUCUAUAACAAUAACUGGCUUCAAGAUCAGCUUAUCAACUUUAUAAUAUACUGGAUUUCUGUUUUCAAAUGUGCUGAGGGCACAAACAUACAGGUAUCAUAUCUUCAUUCAACUCUUUUUCAGAAAUUAAUUACAAAUGUCACCAAAGCGGAAAUUAUGAAAUACUUUAAAGUACAUAAAAU